rnacentral:lncRNA from 10 species
UUUCUAGAUGCCUAGUAACAGCUUGAAGUACAUUGGUAAAUUCUGAUCUUGUCUACCUCUUCAUAAGACCAACAGUAAAACUGAGGCUCCAGAGGCUGUGGGAUUUGCUCAGGGCCACACCGCCAGAAGUAGAUCCAGCCAUCCUGACUCAGAACCAGCCAGAGAGGCCUGACAUUGAAUGUCAGACACUGCCAGGGAGAAGUGGGUAAUCUCAGCUCCCAAUGACCCCAUUUUACAGACGUGGAAAUUGAGACUGCAUGACUCACCCAAAGCCUCUGGAUUAGUAAGAUACUUAGCUGAGAUCUCAACAUGGAGCUGCCAGACCCCACCUGUUAUGAAGCACCUACAAAAGAGGAUGGUGAAAAACCCUCCAGGCUGGACAGAGGGUCUCCUAGAGGGACCACAGGGUGGAGUCGACCCUUGGACUUGGGCUAGAAGCAUCUAAGACCCUAAUUAAAACAAGGACAGAAGGAAUGGUGAUAAUCGGUCUGUUUACAGAGUGCCAGGCAAGCACUAUUAUUAGCUCCAUUUUAUAGACACUCCGCAUAUAUUAUCAUAGAUAGUCUGCAUAUGUUUAAUCUUUCCUACACCCUUACAGGACAGAUAUUAUUAUGGUCUCCAUUCUGCAAAUAGGAGAAAUGAGGCUCAGAGGGAUGAAGACUUUCUCGUCCACAUCCGCCAUGCUAGUGAACAGCAGUGCUGGGAUCUGAACCCAGGUUUCAAAGAGCAUCUAUUAUUCAUUAUUUAUUGGGGCCUUCCUGGAUGCCUGACACUAUAACAAUAACGACGACAAUAAUAAUACUAAUUCCUUGUGUUCCAGGUCAUAGAAUGUGAAAGGAAAAUAAAUCUUGGGGCCCCCAAAUCACUAAGCUAAAGGGAAAAGUCAAGCUGGGAACUGUUUAGGGCCAACCUACCCCCCAUUCUAUUCAAAGGCAGCCCUCUGCUCACUGACAUAGAUGCAUUAUCUGUUUGUCUCCUUUGGAAAGGCUAAUCAGAAACUCAAAAGAAUGCGACCAUUUGUCUCUCACCUACCUGUGACCUGGAAAACCCCUCCCUGCUUCAAGUUGUCCUGCAUUUCUAGAUCGAACCAAUGUACUUCUUACAUAUAUUGAUUGAUGUCUCAUGUCUCUCUAAAAUGUAUAAAAUUAAGCUGUGCCCAGACCACCUUGGGCAUGUGACAGGAGGACUUCCUGAGGCUGUGUCAUGGGAGUGUCCUCAACCUCGGCAAAAUAAACUUCCUAAAUGAACUGAGAUCUGUCUCAGAUUUUCUGGGUUCACAGGUAUGUACACAUUUUACAGCAUCACCUCACUUAAAACAACAAUCCUUAUGGUAUAACCAUUUGAACCCUAAUUUCCAGAUGAGGAAACAAAACAGAAGCACAAAGUGAAGUAAUUUGCACAUCCUGCUGGUUAAAGUUGGAGCCAGUUUCGGAACUCAUGCCCUGCUCCCCAGCCAACUCAGAAAUCUGGCUGACCCUGUCAUCAGCACGUGGCCCCAGCGUGUCUCCCAGCCCACCACACCCGCUGGAGCCUCUGAUGUUUAUAAUUCUACCAGGACUGGCUUGAAACUCCCCCUGAAUGCUGCUGGGGCUUGUUCCUGCCCAGCCUGUGUUUGCAAUGGCUUUGACUGAUUUUCUGGAAGGCAAGCCUCUGCCGGGAACACAUUCUUUUUAAUGGAGUGUUAAUCAGGAGGGAAGGAAAAGAAAGAUUUUUCUACUGCCCAGCUUCACAGGGGCUGAGCUUCCUGUCUUCUCUCAUUUUUCCCCCUAGUAUGUUUAUUUCUCCCAGGGUGGGAUGCGGCAGUGAGAGCCCUGGGCCUAAAGCUGUGCAUAGGCCCAGUCCCUACUCCACUCCUAUUGCUGACUCAUGGCAUGACUGUGAACGAGUCCCACCUAGGCCUCAGCCUCCUCAGCUGCAAGAUGGGCCUACCCUGCUACCCUGGAGUGGACUGAGGAUGAUUUUGGAGAAGUAUAAGAAUGUCAGCCCACCCUUGGCACCUAGUAGGUGCUCAGUAAAUCAUCACUUCUUCUUUCUGGCCUCCUAAUUCCCAGACAACCUGGGUCUGACUCCUUGGUGGCCUUGAACAAGUUACUUUAAUCUCUCCGUGCCUCAGUUUCCUCAUCUGAAAAAAGAAGAUAAACAGUACCCACCUCCUCUGGUUGUGGUAUUAGCUGAGAUAUUAUAGGCAACAGCAGUUAGCAAAGUGCUGAGCGAAUAGUUAGCACUCAGAGUUACCAGUUAGUGUUACUACAAUUACUGGUAAGCCUCAGUUUCCCUGUCUGGGACAAGGAGAGGUGUUUCACCGGAAACCAGUUGCGGUUAUUAACACUAUCAUUGUUCAGCCUUAACGUGCACUUCUAGACUCUGUUAUGAUGCUGGAGUGCACAAAAUCCCGUUUCUUCUUUGUUUUUUAAUUCUUUGAUAUCUGCUUAACCUAUUCUUUAUAUUAAAUGCCCUCUGUCAAAAUAUCCAACAUGGUUUCUAUUUUCCUGUCUGUACCAUGAUUGAUGAGCACCCAGAGGCCCCAAUAGCUGAGUCAGGCAGGUUAAGAUCUCUGCUGGGAGCCGGGAGAGAAGUUUUCCGUAAAGAUAACUUUGCAGGCUGCAUUCCUGAGCCCUGAGGUCACCUGUGUCACACUGUCCCAACGUCAGCUCCCAGGAAACUUUCUCUGGCUAUUCCCAGGGCUGAGGGCUACAUCCCGGCCUCCCCAUUCUCUCUCCCUCCUGCCCCUGACUUACCAGACACCUCCACGUAUCCAUCUUUG